AUAUAAAGGCUGAUUAAUGAGAUUAAUUGUAUAAUAUUCAUGUGCGUAUGUUGGCAACUCUGUUUCUAACAACUUGACUUUAUCUAUGUUUCCGUUUCCAACCUCACUUAAUUUGCUGUUUGAAAACUGAAAACAUCGAACAUCUUGGAAAAAGCCAAAAAAAGAAUAUUGAAAAUAUACUUUGAUAUACUUCAAGUCUGAAAUCAACAGCUGGAAAGUUGAAUGUUCUGGGUAGGUAUAACGCAUUAAUCAGGUACAACUUGCAAACCUGAAGUAAUCGAAAAAUGAUUACCCGAAUAAGAUGCAAAAAAUGUCGGAAUAUCUUAUUGGAAAACAAAGAAUCUGACCAACAACUGUUAAACGCCCAUGGAGCUUCAUUAAAUGAAACCGGCACACCCUGUUCAUCUGUAACGGAGCAAACGAUGUGCUUUUUAAAUGACGAAGUCCUGCCGGAUUGGGCUAAUGAGAAAAUCGUGGAGAAUGAAUGGAUUAGGGGGCGGUUGCAUUGCCCCAAAUGCCAGGCAAGGAUGGGGGCGUUCGAUUUUGUCUCCCGACAAAAAUGCGAGUGUGGCCAAACGUUUUUACCGGCAGUUCACAUCAUCAAAAGCAAGGUGGAUAUUCUAAGGAACUGACAUGAAAGUAUCGACAAUAAAAUUUAAAAACUGUAUAUUAAAAACAUCGUGAUAACACCCUAGGAUAAAAUAAUACAGAGAUAUAAAAUAUAUAUGGCAAAAUAACCUACCACCGUUUUAUAUAAAUACGAUAAUAAAUAUUAUUGUUUAUUUGAGCAGUA